rnacentral:lncRNA from 1 species
UAGAUUCUUGAGUUUUGAGAGUUUAGAAUAAGAAUAAGAUAAGUGAUCUUAAGGUAGUGUAAGGAAGAUAACUUGAGCAUCUCAUCAUUAGAUUUAGGAGGUUUUAAUGCUUAAUUAUGUUUUUUUCUAACCUUAGUUCAUCUUUUUUAUUAGGGUUUGUAGCAAAGGAAGUGAUCAAAUCAUCUAAAGCCAAAGGAAAGAAGAAGAUUGAGGAGGUGUAACAGUUUUCAGUUUGUGCUUGUUUAAUUCAAUUUGUGGUAUAAACUUGAUUGAUCAAUUUAGCUUAGGAAAUCUUGUUGAUUUUAUAUUGUCGGUGAUAUUUGUUGGCAAAGACUUGAUUUUUGCAUAAAUGAAAUCUAUGCUCGACAUGUUAAUUGCGAUGAAACAAUGUAAAUGAAUAUUAUUGUCUCAAGUAUGAUUUGUUGUGAAGAAUGUGGGAUUGAUUCUUGUGAUGCAUGAUGAUAAUUAAUAUUGCUUGAUGAUUCUAAGACAUGUAGAUUGAUAAACACCCUAUUAAACAAAAUUGGGAAUGGUUUGAGUAUUGUUGACAUGCCAUAGUGUUUUAGGCAUGUAUAUAGGUCACUAGGUGAAUUUUUGCAUCUUUAAGUGGAUUUUUAUGUUGUUUUGAAGUAUUUGGUAUGUUUUGGUUCAUUUUGAAACUUUUCAACACUUUUGGAUUUAAUCUGUGAUGCAAAUUUGUAUGGUUUAUGCAUGCAUUAUAAGUGUUACAAUUUACUUACCUAGUGAUUUUUUUUAUCUAUUGUGGUAAUAGCCAUGAUUUUAUAUGUGUUUGACUUGUUUUGGCAUUUCAAAUAUGUUUUCUAUUAUUUGGUUGCAUGCUGCUUAUGUUUAGGGACCUUUAGAGACACAAUUGCAUGACUUGUAAUGCUUGUUUUAUGCAUUUUUGGGCAUGUGUCUCAAGAUCACAAGAACAUUUUCUUGUGAUUCUUGCAUUUCCAAGUGCAGGCCUUGAUACAUAGACAUCAAAGUCUCUAUAUAUGGUUGCAUUACCUUGAGACAUAAAACAUUGAAGCUAAAAUAUAAAAAAUUCAGUCCAAAGUCUUGAGACAUUGUGCAUUGUCUUGAGACAUAAAACUUUGAAGCUAAGAUCUGAAAAUAAGGAAAGUAUGUCUUAAGACAUAGAGUCUUGCAUUUUUCUUGUUUGACUUACAAUUUGUAACCUGGCUCUAUGUUUAACUUUCUUUGACCUUGGUUUAUCAUAUGUGGGUCUAAUUGAGUAUGUUUAACACUUUAUAUCUUCUUUUAAUUGUUCAUGCCAUGCUUGAGUUGUUUUAGUUGAAUUUUUUUAGCUUCAAUGAUCGUUUUAAUGUUUGCUUCGACAACGAAUCUGGUGUCUUGCAUCUGAUUGUCUUCUAGGUCUACUGUAGGGUGUUACAUUAGUUGAUAUUAGAGGGGGUUUGGGUUUAGCUGGUUCUAGGCCCAAAAUGCAUAAUUUUUUUGUGAUUUUGUCUAGGGUACAUGCCAUUAGGUGAACCAACCAAGUUUUAUUGAUAGUUAAGACUUGAAUGUUGAAUUUUUCUCUAGUUGUUAUAUGUUUGUAUAAAUUCAAUAUGUCUGUUGAAUCUCUUAAUGCAUUAGAUGAGGAGGUUGAGUUAGACCCUCAAAUUCUCCCCUUACCUUAAGCUACUCAAACUGAUGUGGGAGACAAGAAUUAUCCUAAGGCACUUGAUGUUGGUGCACAAACUAUAGUUGGUGGUCGAAAUGCUAAAAAUGAUGAUGCUCUAUUGUGUACUAUCGCAGAUGCACUCCAUAGAGUUUAGGGGGGCUACACCACAAGUUUGAAUUGUUAUGAGAGUUUGUAAGAUUGCUACUAGGAAGCUUAAAAAAUACGAAAUAGUGGACUUCAAGGGGUUGAAAGGUGUUGAUCCUUUCGCAGCAGAAUCUUAGCUUGCAAUGAAUCAACUAGAGUGUGUUCAAGUUGAGUGAGUUCAGUGCAUAAUUCCCUUGUUAAAGGAAGAAGCUUACCAAUAAUGGUUAAAUAUAAGUCAGUCUAUUCCAAUUGAAAGGAUAAAUUGGGUUUUUCCAAGCGAGGUUCAAAAAGACGUAUGCUAGAAAGUUGUAUUUGGAGGAUUGGAAAUAAGAGUUUAUUAUGCUAAUAAGGAAACUUGUUUGUGGCAAACUACGAGCAAGAGUUUCUCUGAUUUAGUUGGUAUGCUCCUAAGAUGGUACCAAUGAAAGUUGAGAGUUCCAUCUAAUUUCUUAGAGGAUUGUGGGAUGAGAUAUAUGUACAACUAGUGGCCACCGAGUGAGAGUUUUCUGACAAAAUUAAGAGAGCCAAGAUGGUUGAGCAAGUUUUGGGGUUAGACGAGAAACUCGAUGAUAACCAAACUCAAGAGAAGAGAGUUGGUGGUUCUAGUUCGUAGUCUGUUUCGAAGUGAGCUAGAGAUUUCAGAGUUUCUAAGUGAUUUGUGCCUUCUAGGUUCCAUUUUGAGGGAAGACGAUCGCAGCAAUAUUUUGUUUCUAUGGCUAGUUCAGGUGGACCUGUUUUGGUCUCUAGUACUUCGAAGUGUGACCACUGUGGCCAUAGGCAUGUGUGGGGAGUUUUGAAAGAAGAUUGGUGCAUGUGCCUUGGGGUAAGACUACAGGGGGAGAGAAUGUUGUUAGGUGAGGUUAGAGGAGGACUAUAGAUAAUACUGCUACUAUUGGAUUUGAGGCUAGAGCUUUGGUUUUGGCUUAAUUUGUUCGUGCUCGUUAUGGUGUGGACGCUAUUGUUAUGGUCUAAGGUAUAUAUUCUUUUUUUCUAUUCCAGUUGAUGCAUUGAUUGAUCCUUCUACACAUUUCGAUAUAUAUAGUAUUGUGAUCUGUGGGUGGAGUGUUCCUAUGGAAUUGCCAGAUAUAAGGAUUUCAAUGUCUAGUCUUUUAGGGGUAGGGUGUGAUUGUUGAUAAGGUCUGCAAUCAUUUUCAUUCGAUGAUUUAGGGAAUUAUGUUCUUAGCAGAUUUAAUAGUGAUGUCAUUUUUUGAGUUAGAUAUGUGAUUUUGGGAAUGUACUGGCUUUCAAGCAUAAUGUUAUAUUGGAUAGUUAGAAGAGGUUUGUUAUUCAAUAUUUGUAUGGUAGUGUGCUGGAAGUUGUUGGUAUGAAGUUUGGAUGCUUUGCUAAAGUGAUUUCUGCGGUGAAGGCUUGGAAAAUGUUGAAUAAGGGUUACAAGGUUUAUUUAGCGUAUAUAUUAGACUUGAAGGCUACAUAUCCUAAACUCGAGGAAACCCAAACUAUUCAGGAGUUUACGAAUGUUUUUUUCUACAAGUUAACAGGUUUAUCUCUACCUCGUGAAGUCGAGUUUGAUAUUGAACUGUUACUUGAAGUAUCAUCAGUUUCCAUUUCUCCCUAUCGCAUAACACCUACAGAGUUGAAAGAAUUGAAGAUGCAUUUACAAGAAAUUUUGGAUCAAGGGUUUAUACGACCUAGUAUAUCACCUUUGGGAGAACCGAUGUUGUUCAUGAGAAAGACGAACAAUACUUGGCAAUUGUGUUUCAAUUAUCUUCAGAUGAACAAUACUUGUGUGCAUUAUUAAUGGUAUCUUAGGGGAAGUCGAGUUUUCACACACAUUGGUGCAUUGUCAUUAGCAUUGUUGUUAGUGUACUGAAGUGCAUUAUCUUCCUAUUUAAAAGUUGAGGAAGGGCAUUAUAUAAAAAAAAGCAGAUAUGAUAAGAACUUAUAAUGAGAUUAAUGUUAGAAAAAAAUUAUGAAUAUGAAAUUUAAAAUAUUAGUCACUAUGUAAAAUUAAAAUAUAUGGAUUAAUGGUGUAAUUAAUUAAUGUUAUAAAAGAUAAGAAAUAAGUUGAAACAAGUUUUAAAUAUGUAUGUGAUAUGAAUACUAUAUGUUUAGGAUAUGAAUGGUUAUGUAUAUGAUAUGCUAUGAUUCAAUAACUUGUUUUAUUUAUGUUAAUGAAAUCAUGAUCAAGGUGAAGAUAUUAUAUGUUUAAUGGUUUAAAUAAAAAAUAUUGAUUGAGUCUUACCUCGAUUGAUAUGGUGAUUGUUGUUAAUGUAGGAGGCCGUGAGUUCGAGUGCGCUGAAGUGUAUUAUCCUCUUAUUUUAAGGACUUUAAUGUAU